AAAUCUGACAUCCUCCCCUAGUGCUGUUGCUCUGGGUAAUGUUUCAAUAGGCCUAGCUUCAUUAUCAAAUCUGACAUCCUCCCCUAGUGCUGCUGCUCUGGGUAAUGUUUCAUUAGCCUAGCUUCAUUAUCAAAUCUGACAUCCUCCCCAGUCAUAGUGCUGCUGCUCUGGGUCUGUUGCUCUGGGUCUGUUGCUCUGGGUCUGUUGCUCUGGGUCUGUUGCUCUGGGUCUGUUGCUCUGGGUUUAGGUCUGUUGCUCUGGGUCUGUUGCUCUGGGUCUGUUGCUCUGGGUCUAGGUCUGUUGCUCUGGGUCUGUUGCUCUGGGUCUGGGUCUGUUGCUCUAGGUCUGUUGCUCUGGGUCUGUUGCUCUGGGUCUGUUGCUCUGGGUCUAGGUCUGUUGCUCUGGGUCUAUUGCUCUGGGUCUGUUGCUCUGGGUCUGUUGCUCUGGGUCUGUUGCUCUGGGUCUAGGUCU